rnacentral:rRNA from 1 species
AUUGAACGCUGGCGGCAGGCCUAACACAUGCAAGUCGAGCGGAUGAUGGGAGCUUGCUCCCUGAUUUAGCGGCGGACGGGUGAGUAAUGCCUAGGAAUCUGCCUGGUAGUGGGGGAUAACGUUCCGAAAGGAACGCUAAUACCGCGUACGUCCUACGGGAGAAAGCAGGGGACCUUCGGGCCUUGCGCUAUCAGAUGAGCCUAGGUCGGAUUAGCUAGUUGGUGAGGUAAUGGCUCACCAAGGCGACGAUCCGUAACUGGUCUGAGAGGAUGAUCAGUCACACUGGAACGGAGACACGGUCCAGACUCCUACGGGAGGCAGCAGUGGGGAAUAUUGGACAAUGGGCGAAAGCCUGAUCCAGCCAUGCCGCGUGUGUGAAGAAGGUCUUCGGAUUGUAAAGCACUUUAAGUUGGGAGGAAGGGCAGUAAGUUAAUACCUUGCUGUUUUGACGUUACCGACAGAAUAAGCACCGGCUAACUUCGUGCCAGCAGCCGCCGUAACAC